UGGCGAACGGGUGAGUAACACGUGGGUGAUCUGCCCUGCACUUCGGGAUAAGCUUGGGAAACUGGGUCUAAUACCGGAUAGGACCAUCGUUUAGUGUCGGUGGUGGAAAGUUUUUCGGUGUGGGAUGAGCUCGCGGCCUAUCAGCUUGUUGGUGGGGUAAUGGCCUACCAAGGCGUCGACGGGUAGCCGGCCUGAGAGGGUGUAUGGCCACAUUGGGACUGAGAUACGGCCCAG
rnacentral:rRNA from 1 species